UUCUGGUUGAUCCUGCCAGACCUGACUGCUAUCGGAUUGAUACUAAGCCAUGCGAGUCAUUGUAGCAAUACAAGGCAUACGGCUCAGUAACGCGUAGUCAACCUAACCUAUGGACGGGAAUAACCUCGGGAAACUGAGAAUAAUGCCCGAUAGAACAUUAUACCUGGAAUGGUUUAUGUUCCAAAUGAUUUAUCGCCGUAGGAUGGGACUGCGGCCUAUCAGUUUGUUGGUGAGGUAAUGGCCCACCAAGACUAUUACAGGUACGGGCUCUGAGAGGAGUAGCCCGGAGAUGGGUACUGAGACACGGACCCAGGCCCUAUGGGGCGCAGCAGGCGAGAAAACUUUGCAAUGUGCGAAAGCACGACAAGGUUAAUCCGAGUGAUUUCUGCUAAAGAGAUCUUUUGUUAGUCCUAGAACCACUAACGAAUAAGGGGUGGGCAAGUUCUGGUGUCAGCCGCCGCGGUAAAACCAGCACCUCAAGUGGUCAGGAUGAUUAUUGGGCCUAAAGCAUCCGUAGCCGGCUCUGUAAGUUUUCGGUUAAAUCUGUACGCUUAACGUACAGGCUGCCGGGAAUACUGCAGAGCUAGGGAGUGGGAGAGGUAGACGGUACUCGAUAGGAAGUGGUAAAAUGCUUUGAUCUAUCGAUGACCACCUGUGGCGAAGGCGGUCUACCAGAACACGUCCGACGGUGAGGGAUGAAAGCUGGGGGAGCAAACCGGAUUAAAUACCCGGGUAGUCCCAGCUGUAAACUAUGCAAACUCAGUGAUGCAUUGGCUUGUGGCCAAUGCAGUGCUGCAGGGAAGCCGUUAAGUUUGCCGCCUGGGAAGUACGUACGCAAGUAUGAAACUUAAAGGAAUUGGCGGGGGAGCACCACAAGGGGUGAAGCCUGCGGUUCAAUUGG
rnacentral:rRNA from 1 species